rnacentral:rRNA from 1 species
AGGGUGCAGGGCGAAUGCCUUGGCACUAGGAGCCGAUGAAGGACGUGAUAAGCUGCGAUAAGCUUCGGGGAGUUGCACGUAAACUUUGAUCCGAAGAUUUCCGAAUGAGGAAACUCACUUAGAGUAAUGUCUAAGUAUCGUAUGAUGAAUACAUAGUCAUGCGAGGGGAACCCGGAGAACUGAAACAUCUAAGUACCCGGAGGAAGAGAAAGAAAUUCGAUUCCGUAAGUAGCGGCGAGCGAACGCGGAACAGGCCAAACCAGUGAAGUUUUCUUCGCUGGGGUUGCGGACAUAUCAUAACGAAGAGGUAUCGUAGAAGAAGAGAGUUGGAAAGCUCCGCCACAGAUGGUAACAGCCCAGUAUUUUAAACGAGAAGACUUUAGAUAUGAUCCAGAGUACCACGGGACACGUGAAACCCUGUGGGAAGCAGGAGGGACCAUCCUCCAAGCCUAAAUACUACCUAGUGACCGAUAGCGUAUAGUACCGUGAGGGAAAGGUGAAAAGAACCCCGGGAGGGGAGUGAAAGAGAACCUGAAACCCUGCACUUACAAGCUGUAGGAGCACAUUAUUUGUGUGACUGCGUACUUUUUGUAGAACGGGCCAACGAGUUACGUUGUGUAGCAAGGUUAAGCACUUAAGGUGUGGAGCCGUAGCGAAAGCGAGUCUUAAAUGGGCGUCCAGUUACCCGACGUAGACCCGAAACCAGGCGACCUAUCCAUGAGCAGGUUGAAGCGAAAGUAAAAUUUCGUGGAGGACCGAACCCACGUACGUUGAAAAGUGCGGGGAUGACUUGUGGAUAGCGGUGAAAUUCCAAUCGAGCCUGGAGAUAGCUGGUUCUCCCCGAAAUAGCUUUAGGGCUAGCCUCAAGCUUAGAGAAACGGAGGUAGAGCACUGAAUGUCCUAGGGGGUAUUGCACUUACCGAAGACUAUCAAACUCCGAAUGCCGUAUUCUUUUGCUUGGGAGUCAGACUAUGGGUGAUAAGAUUCAUAGUCAAGAGGGCAACAGCCCAGAUCGUCAGCUAAGGUCCCUAAAUGUAAGUUAAGUGGUAAAGGAUGUGGAAUUGCACAGACAACCAGGAUGUUGGCUUAGAAGCAGCCACUCAUUUAAAGAGUGCGUAAUAGCUCACUGGUCGAGUGAUUCUGCGCCGAAAAUUUCCGGGGCUAAAACUUACUACCGAAGCUACGGCAUCAUUAUGAUGGGUAGGGGAGCUUUCUAUGCGGCUUGAAGCAUGACCGUAAGGACAUGUGGACUGCAUAGAAGUGAGAAUGUUGGCAUGAGUAGCGAGAUGUGGGUGAGAAUCCCACAGGCCGUAAACCCAAGGUUUCCAGGGGAAGGUUCGUCCGCCCUGGGUUAGUCAGGACCUAAGCCGAGGCCGAAAGGCGUAGGUGAUGGACAACAGGUUGAUAUUCCUGUACCACCAAUAACCGUUUGAGAAAUGGGAUGACACAGUAGGAUAAGCUAACCGCACUGUUGGUUAUGUGCGGGCAAGUAUUGAGGCAGUUCCGAUAGGCAAAUCCGUCGGAAUAAUGCUGGGGUACGAUGCGGAGCGAAAUUUAGUAGCGAAGUAGCUGAUUUCACACUGUCGAGAAAAGUCUCUAUCGAGGUUAAAGGUGCCUGUACCGCAAACCGACACAGGUGGGUGAGGAGAGUAUCCUAAGGCCAGCGAGAGAACUGUUGUUAAGGAACUCGGCAAAAUGACCCCGUAACUUAGGGAGAAGGGGUGCCUUCGAAAGAAGGCCGCAGAGAAUAGGCCCAAGCGACUGUUUACCAAAAACAUAGGUUUCUGCUAAGUCGCAAGACGAUGUAUAGGAGCUGACGCCUGCCCGGUGCUGGAAGGUUAAGGGGAUCUGUUAGAGCAAUCGAAGCAGUGAACUUAAGCCCCAGUAAACGGCGGCCGUAACUAUAACGGUCCUAAGGUAGCGAAAUUCCUUGUCGGGUAAGUUCCGACCCGCACGAAAGGCGUAACGAUUUGGGCACUGUCUCAACAACAGACUCGGUGAAAUUGUAAUACCGGUGAAGAUGCCGGUUACCUGCGACAGGACGGAAAGACCCCAUGGAGCUUUACUGUAGCUUGACAUUGAGUCUCGGUGCUACAUGUACAGGAUAGGUGGGAGACUAUGAAGCAUGGACGUCAGUCUGUGUGGAGUCAUCCUUGGGAUACCACCCUUGUAGUACUGGGAUUCUAACCAGAGGCCAUGAAUCUGGUCUUGGGACACUGUCAGGUGGACAGUUUGACUGGGGCGGUCGCCUCCCAAAAAGUAACGGAGGCGCUCAAAGGUUCUCUCAGUACGGUCGG